rnacentral:rRNA from 1 species
CACGGUAAACGAUGGAUGCCCGCUGUUUGCGAUAUACUGUGAGCGGCCAAGAGAAAUCGUUAAGCAUCCCACCUGGGGAGUACGCCGGCAACGGUGAAACUCAAAGGAAUUGACGGGGGCCCGCACAAGCGGAGGAACAUGUGGUUUAAUUCGAUGAUACGCGAGGAACCUUACCCGGGCUUGAACUGCAGGAGAACGAUACAGAGAUGUUGAGGUCCUUCGGGACUCCUGUGGAGGUGCUGCAUGGUUGUCGUCAGCUCGUGCCGUGAGGUGUCGGCUUAAGUGCCAUAACGAGCGCAACCCUUUUCGUCAGUUGCCAUCAGGUGAUGCUGGGCACUCUGGCGAUGCUGCCACCGUAAGGUGUGAGGAAGGUGGGGAUGACGUCAAAUCAGCACGGCCCUUACGUCCGGGGCUACACACGUGUUACAAUGGGGAGUACAGAGAGUCAACCGCCGACAACGUCGGUUUAAUCAAGAAAGCUCUCCUCAGUUCGGAUUGGGGUCUGCAACCCGACC